GGAGGACAGUUCCAGUUUCCUCCUAAUACUGUGCUAGUGAGUGCUAUGUAUGCAGUAUCACUCUCAAAGCCUCUACUGAAGCCACUACAACUAGAGAUACAGCACUGCAUUGAUUUAACAGGACGGCCAGAUCUUGGGCGAUACUUAAAGUUUGCAAUAGCUCCUGUGAGCACAGCCAGUCUUCCUUACCAGUUCAGAUUAGUAGAGGGAGGUGAGUUUAGGACUGAUAGUUGGGUAUGGAUCCAUUAAACGUGAGAAAUUCUGUCUUGUAUCUGUCUGUGGCUGUGAUGGAGGAGGAGGAACAGGUACUAGUUCUUCAUCAGAAGUUUCAUCUCAUUUAGCUGAUCCUUUAUCAGAACCUGGUCACAGCCUGAGAACAAGGAACUCAUCAUCUUCUGGGGGUAAUGAUGGGUUAAUUCAAGAUACAGUAUCUCAACAGUCAGUAUUGGAAGAUUCAGCUAGUACUGGAAGUAUACCUGAAGAAUUAUUAAGAGCUACAACAUAUGCUGGGCUGGUUUAUUAUGAGGAGGAUGGUGUUGAAGAUGCAGUGACAUUCACUGCAGCUAAGAAAUUAGA